UGCCCACUGAUAAAUUAUUUAAUGGCCGCAGUAUUUUAACUGUGCAAAGGUAGCAUAAUAAUUAGUUUUUUAAUUGAAAGCUUGUAUGAAUGAUUGGACGAGAUAUAAACUGUCUCAUAAAAAUUUUUUUAGAAUUUAAUUUUUUAGUAAAAAAGCUAAAAUAAAUUUAAAAGACGAGAAGACCCCAUAGAUCUUUAUAUUUUUUUUUAUAAUAAUUUUUUAGAUUUUUUUAUAAAUUAAUAAAUAAAAAUAUUUUGUUGGGGUGACAUUAAAAUUUAAUAAACUUUUAAAAUUUGAAGACAUUAAUUUAUGAAUUUAUGAUCCUUUAUUAUUGAUUAAAAAUUUAAGUUACCUUGGGGAUAACAGCGUAAUUAUUUUGGAGAGUUCAUAUCGAUAAAAUARAUUGCGACCUCGAUGUUGGAUUAARAUUAAUUUUGGGUGUARAAGUUCAAAAUAUUAAGUCUGUUCRACUUUUAAUUUCUUAC
rnacentral:rRNA from 1 species